GCCUUAGUAACGGCGAGUGAAGCGGCAACAGCUCAAAUUUGAAAUCUGGCCCUUGGGUCCGAAUUGUAAUUUGUAGAGGAUGAUUUUGGUGCGGUAUCUUCCGAGUUCCUUGGAACAGGACGCCUUAGAGGGUGAGAGCCCCGUACGGUUGAAUGCCUAGCCUCUGUAAAUCUCCUUCGACGAGUCGAGUAGUUUGGGAAUGCUGCUCUAAAUGGGAGGUAAAUUUCUUCUAAAGCUAAAUAUUGGCCAGAGACCGAUAGCGCACAAGUAGAGUGAUCGAAAGAUGAAAAGCACUUUGAAAAGAGGGUUAAAUAGCACGUGAAAUUGUUGAAAGGGAAGGAUUUGUGACCAGACUUUUUCUGGGCGGAUCAUCCGGGGUUCUCUCCGGUGCACUUCGCCCAGUAAAGGCCAGCAUCGGUUUUCGGCGUGGGAUAAAAGCAGUAGGAAUGUGGCUCUCUACGGGGAGUGUUAUAGCCUAUUGUAUAAUACCGCGCUGGGGACCGAGGUUCGCGCUUCUGCAAGGAUGCUGGCGUAAUGGUUAUCAAUCACCCGUCUU
rnacentral:rRNA from 2 species